rnacentral:rRNA from 1 species
UACGUAGGGUGCAAGCGUUAAUCGGAAUUACCGGGCGUAAAGCGUGCGCAGGCGGUUUUGUAAGUUUGUCGUGAAAUCCCCGGGCUUAACCUGGGAAUUGCGAUGAAGACUGCAAGGCUAGAAUCUGGCAGAGGGGGGUAGAAUUCCACGUGUAGCAGUGAAAUGCGUAGAGAUGUGGAGGAACACCGAUGGCGAAGGCAGCCCCCUGGGUCAAGAUUGACGCUCAUGCACGAAAGCGUGGGGAGCGAACAGG